GGAAUCCAUGAGAGUGCUGAGGGCUUUUAACACCAAGAUGAUCUCAGUCACUUGUUGCCUUGAUGAUAAAAAUAUUAAAUGGUGAGAAACACUUGGAAUCGAGUUCUGUGCGCUUAAAAACAGACUGGAAAUACAACCUGGGCAGCAGUCUCUGGUCCUCCACGUAUCUCUGGAGCACGUCCUGCACCCGCUGCAGCAGCGCAGACAGAGCCAUGCGUGAGAUGAAGCCCUCCUGCGACAUCGACUCCUUACUACUGAAGGAGAACUGCAGGAGCGUCUCGAAACACGCCUUGGAGAACUCCUCCCGCAUACAGAUGUCCAUUUCAGCUUCUGUCCGGGAACAGAAGAGACUCAGUCUCAUUUUUUGAAUGAUCCACACCUGUGCGGAGCCCUAUAAAGAGCUGCUGAUACCACACCUGAGUGCGUACACAGAGAGCUGGAGAACAGAGCCGAUGCACUGCCGUGCUGUUUAACUUUAUAGGGAUUGCUGUCCACCCAGUUGUAGAAAACGUUCCAUUUUUGUAGUUGUUUUUUUUUUUUGUGUUACCAUAUCUUUCAUUUGUUAACUUUUCUAUUAAAACAAACAUACCCCUACC